ACGGGUGAGUAACGCGUAAGAACCUACCUUAUGGUGAGGGAUACCAACUGGAAACGGUUGCUAAUACCUCAUAUGCUGAGAAGUAAAAGGUGUACUACAUCGCCAUAAGAGGGGCUUGCGUCGGAUUAGCUAGUAGGUGGGGUAACGGCUCACCUAGGCGACGAUCCCUAGCUGGUCUGAGAGGAUGACCAGCCACACUGGAACUGAGACACGGUCCAGACUCCUACGGGAGGCAGCAGUGGGGAAUAUUGCACAAUGGGCGCAAGCCUGAUGCAGCCAUGCCGCGUGUAUGAAGAAGGCCUUCGGGUUGUAAAGUACUUUCAGCGGGGAGGAAGGCGACGUGGUUAAUAACCGCGUCGAUUGACGUUACCCGCAGAAGAAGCACCGGCUAACUCCGUGCCAGCAGCCGCGGUAAUACGGAGGGUGCAAGCGUUAAUCGGAAUUACUGGGCGUAAAGCGCACGCAGGCGGUCUGUCAAGUCGGAUGUGAAAUCCCCGGGCUUAACCUGGGAACUGCAUUCGAAACUGGCAGGCUAGAGUCUUGUAGAGGGGGGUAGAAUUCCAGG
rnacentral:rRNA from 1 species